GACGAACGCUGGCGGCGUGCUUAACACAUGCAAGUCGAACGGAAAGGCCAUGCGUUUGCGGGGUGCUCGAGUGGCGAACGGGUGAGUAACACGUGAGUAACAUGCCCUUGACUGUGGGAUAACUUCAGGAAACUGGGGCUAAUACCGGAUAGGAGCUCCUGCUGCAUGGUGGGGGUUGGAAAGUUUCGGCGGUGGGGGCUGGACUCGCGGCUUAUCAGCUUGUUGGUGGGGUAGUGGAGUACCAAGGUUAUGACGGGUAGCCGGCCUGAGAGGGUGACCGGGGACAUUGGGACUAAGGUACGGCCCAGACUCCUACGGGAGGCAGCAGUGGGGAAUAUUGCACAAUGGGCGGAAGUCUGAUGCAGCAACGCUGCGUGCGGGAUGACGGCCUUCGGGUUGUAAACCGCUUUCUCCUGUGACGAAGCGUGAGUGACGGUAAUGGGUAAAGAAGCACCGGCUAACUACGUG
rnacentral:rRNA from 1 species